AAUGGAGGAAACUCUGAUGCAGCGACGCCGCGUGAGCGAAGAAGCCUUUCGGGGUGUAAAGCUCUUACGCCAGGGACGAUAAUGACGGUACCUGGAGAAGCAGCUGCGGCUAACUACGUGCCAGCAGCCGCGGUAAUACGUAGGCAGCAAGCGUUGUUCGGAAUUACUGGGCGUAAAGGGUGCGUAGGCGGCGCUCUAAGUUUGGUGUGAAAUCUCCCGGCUUAACUGGGAGGGUGCACUGAAAACUGGGGCGCUCGAGUAUGGGAGAGGAAAGCGGAAUUCCUGGUGUAGCGGUGAAAUGCGUAGAGAUCAGGAGGAACACCUGCGGUGUAGACGGCUUUCUGGACCAUCACUGACGCUGAGGCACGAAAGCGUGGGUAGCAGA
rnacentral:rRNA from 1 species